UUAUGUUGCCUCGGCGGAUCAGCCCGCGCCCCGUAAAAAGGGACGGCCCGCCGCAGGAACCCUAAACUCUGUUUUUAGUGGAACUUCUGAGUAUAAAAAACAAAUAAAUCAAAACUUUCAACAACGGAUCUCUUGGUUCUGGCAUCGAUGAAGAACGCAGCAAAAUGCGAUAAGUAAUGUGAAUUGCAGAAUUCAGUGAAUCAUCGAAUCUUUGAACGCACAUUGCGCCCGCCAGUAUUCUGGCGGGCAUGCCUGUUCGAGCGUCAUUUCAACCCUCAAGCCCAGCUUGGUGUUGGGAGCUGCAGUCCUGCUGCACUCCCCAAAUACAUUGGCGGUCACGUCGAGCUUCCAUAGCGUAGUAAUUUACACAUCGUUACUGGUAAUCGUCGCGGCCACGCCGUUAAACCCCAACUUCUGAAUGUUGACCUCGGAUCAGGUAGGAAUACCCGCUGAACUUAAGCAUAU
rnacentral:rRNA from 1 species